GACGUAGGGCGCGAGCGUUGUCCGGAUUUAUUGGGCGUAAAGAGCUCGUAGGCGGCUUGUCGCGUCGGCUGUGAAAACCCGCGGCUCAACUGUGGGCGGGCAGCUGAUACGGGCAGGCUGGAGUUCGGUAGGGGAGACUGGAAUUCCUGGUGUAGCGGUGGAAUGCGCAGAUAUCAGGAGGAACACCGGUGGCGAAGGCGGGUCUCUGGGCAGUAACUGACGCUGGAGGAGCGAAAGCGUGGGGAGCGAACAGG
rnacentral:rRNA from 1 species